UCGAACGGUCGCGUCUCUCUCCUCGCUCUCUUACUACUACAGAAUUUCGUUUGAAAACACACGCGAUUGUAAUACAAUCAGUGUCGAGCACCACUAACUAACUACAUCGUGUAAUUAAUUUUACACAUUACAAACUGUUACAAUUUAUAAUUCGUAAUUUGCCUGUCGGAAUGUAAUUAAGUGGAAAUAACCUCGAACACUGCACACAGUGUUGUGAAUUCCGUUGUAAACAUGUGGUGAGAAGUUGUCUACAGUGUUGUUGUUUUUGCAGUGUGUUGCGUAGCUGCAGAACCGAGGCCUUCCAACUUGUUCAUCCUAUUCCUCCGAUCAAAUGGCUCAGAACAGGAUAAUGAAAAUCUGAAACUGCUUCGGUCCAGGCAAUGUGUAUCACCGAAUCACGAAAAAGAUGCAUUCCUGAUGUUUUCGUCCCGCGAAAAAAGAAAAUUCCGAUCCAACUUCAGAUCACGUUCUCAAUUUCGGCGGAGUAUGCGAAGGUAUGCAGAGUUUUAAU